rnacentral:rRNA from 1 species
AGCGAACGCUGGCGGCAGGCUUAACACAUGCAAGUCGAGCGGGCAUCUUCGGAUGUCAGCGGCAGACGGGUGAGUAACACGUGGGAACGUACCCUUCGGUUCGGAACAACUCUGGGAAACUGGAGCUAAUACCGGAUACGCCCUUAUGGGGAAAGGUUUACUGCCGAAGGAUCGGCCCGCGUCUGAUUAGCUAGUUGGUGGGGUAACGGCCUAUCAAGGCGACGAUCAGUAGCUGGUCUGAGAGGAUGAUCAGCCACACUGGGACUGAGACACGGCCCAGACUCCUACGGGAGGCAGCAGUGGGGAAUAUUGGACAAUGGGCGCAAGCCUGAUCCAGCCAUGCCGCGUGAGUGAUGAAGGCCUUAGGGUUGUAAAGCUCUUUUGUCCGGGACGAUAAUGACGGUACCGGAAGAAUAAGCCCCGGCUAACUUCGUG